CAAGUAAAUAACUAGUGUAUGACGUUUCAGUAACAGCGCUGUUACUGAAACAUCACACUAGUUAUUUAUUUG